UACGAAGGGGGCUAGCGUUGCUCGGAAUCACUGGGCGUAAAGCGCGUGUAGGCGGCCCAUUAAGUCUGAUGUGAAAGCCCGGGGCUCACCCCCGGAAGUGCAUUGGAAACUGAUGGACUAGAGUCCCGGAGAGGAGAGUGGAAUUCCUGGUGUAGCGGUGAAAUGCGUAGAUAUCAGGAGGAACACCGGUGGCGAAGGCGGCUCUCUGGACGGUGACUGACGCUGAGACGCGAAAGCGUGGGGAGCAAACAGG
rnacentral:rRNA from 1 species